UCUAACCCAAGCCGUUCUAAGAUUCUACAAUUCUAUGACUUAGUGGAUUGUCACAGUUCAGUGUUUCUCCCUUUGGACUGAAGCUGCUGGGUAAGAUGGAGGAGAGUAGGAACAGCAAAAAGAAGCGAAGGGAGUCUGGGAUUAGUUGUGCACUGUUUCGUUCAAGGCUGUGGUGUUAGCGAGGGCUUUGAGUCUGUGACAUUUUAUCCAGGCAUGGUUCAUGGGUGUGUACUCAAUGUGGCUCUGGAUCUGGUGUUGGACAGGUGUAGGCUAUAGGGACUUUGGGAUCCAAGUAAAUCCUCAGCAUGGGUCUGUUCCUGGGUGGAGCAGGAGGGUUCAUCAAGACCCAGGGAUGUCUCUCACUGUUUAUUUCUCCCUGUGUCCUGUGGGCAUGAUGGGUCUCUGUCAAAUGAAAGUAGAGUGUCAAAAAGGUUUCCUUCACCUGCAUUUGCUCUACCAGCAGUUAGGGCACAGUGUAAGUAUUUGGAGACACAUUUGGAGAAACUGUGCUUACAGCAUGCAGGAGACUGGGCUAGACAGAGGUUGUAACCCAUCAUUCUGGCCUUUAUGUAUUUAUAAGUUCAUAGAUCCUGCCGUGUACUUAAAAGACCUUUACUGCUGUAGUUGAGCACUUGUGCAUGUCAUCUGUUCACAAUUAAUUGUACAGCAAUUGGAACAGCCAGCACACUCCUGACUGGUAAAUUUUUCAGCAUAUCCAGUUCGGAGUGUUGCCCUGAUCAGAGGCACCUGCAGAGAAUUACAAACCACAGAAGAGAGUGCACACAAAGGACGCUCCUGUCUCAGGCAUCCAAGCCUUUCUUGCUUAGAAGUCCACCUCUCAAAGAGGAUUUAGCAAUAUCAUAGAGAGGUGUAGAAGGGGAAAAUAAUCCAUCUUUUUCUUUGGUAGAAAAUAAUGAUGUAACAAGUGAAAUACAAAGAAUAGUUCCAGGCUGGGCCCAACAUUGUUGUAACACUUCAUUCUUUUUUGUUGUUUGUUUGUUUUUUGGAUAAAACAUAAUCUAGACCAAAUUAGUUGAAACAAUGGUCCACAGAGAGCUCACAAACAGAGCCCUGAACAAAGAACUGUUCCUUGUCAACUCAUAAAUAAAAGUGUACCGUGAAACAAUUUAAUCAGAACCACAACUUUAAAUACACUUGAAUAGCACAUAAGCAAGAGUUGGUGUAGGUGUCGUAAGUACCAAAUAAUCUGUAUGAUAUUUAGAAGCAUGAACAUAUGUGGUAAUGAGCCCUGAUAUAUUUAUUUUCCAUUCUAUUUGCUAUGUAUGAAAAAUGCUCAUAUAUCUCUGUGGAGAGUCGUUAUGGCAUUCCCAAAGGAUACUGAUCCAUUUUGAACACGCUAAUGAACAUUCGGGUUAAGCGAUACAGAUUUCUGACUUCUGAAUUGGGGAUAUAUUGUGUGAUGUGUGGUAUUUCUGCCUCAAUCUUCCCAUCUGUGCAAUGGCAAUAACUUUACCUACUUUCUUUCUUCAAGGAAGGGUCGGUAGAAUUAAAUUGUUAAUAGUUAUUGAAGAUUUUGAUUUUGAAAAUGGAAAAAUGAGACAAGCACAAGUUGCAUUUCUUGCCUUCCACAUACAGUGAUGGGGUUUCUCCUUUGCUUCUAUCAUCGGAAGACUUCAACAGUCCAGAACAUUCGGCCAAAGCAGUCAAAGUUGUACGCUACACCCACAUAUAUCUGAAGCUUUUGGUAAUAAGCAUGUGGGCUGCAAACCUACAGGAAUAAGCACGUACUGGUUAACACAAGAAAUGAAGAUUCAGCAGUUUAAAUCAAGUGCUGAUUAACUGUGCCUAUCCCCCUCUAGCUAUUUACUGCAAUUAAAAAAAGACAUUAAUUUGAAUUAGUAAUUUUACUCCUACCUCCAUAAAACAACAGACUUCCACAUCUCUUUCUUCUAUCAUGCCAAUGUGUCAAAAAUGUCAAGGUGAUAAUUUUCAGUCACUUCAGUAGGAUCAUACAUUAAGAGACCACAGCGAGAAAGAAAUUGGAAUGAAAACGACUUUGAAAUCUGAAUAAUACAAAGAAGUUAAAAUAUUAAAACUGUUCAACUCCUGGAAGUUUAUAGUCAGGUAGUGUAUUUUUCUAAAGACUGCUGUAUACACAGUUUGUUAGCCAAAAUCUCUGGCAGGACAGGAAGCAGGAAUAUGAAAAGCCACUAUAAGAUGGAGAACUUUUGCAAGAACCUAUUCAGUCUUCUUAGAGACAGGGUCAUACUUAAAUUUCCAGUGCCAUACACACGACCGUGAAAUUAAUGUGAGUACACAAACUUUUCAAGUUUUGAUCUGUAAAGUCAAGCUCUUCAAAUAAAAUAUUAGAAU
ensembl:lncRNA